rnacentral:rRNA from 1 species
CGCGGCCUAUCAGCUUGUUGGGGGGGUAAUGGCUCACCAAGGCAUCGACGGGUAGCUGGUCUGAGAGGAUGAUCAGCCACACUGGGACUGAGACACGGCCCAGACUCCUACGGGUGGCAGCAGUGGGGAAUCUUGCACAAUGGGCGCAAGCCUGAUGCAGCAACGCCGCGUGCGGGAAGAAGGCCUUAGGGUUGUAAACCGCUUUCAGUAGGGAAGAAAAUGACGGUACCUACAGAAGAAGGUGCGGCCAACUACGUGCCAGCAGCCGCGGUAACACGUAGGCACCAAGCGUUAUCCGGAUUUAUUGGGCGUAAAGGGCUCGUAGGCGGUUCAGUCAGUCGGGUGUGAAAACUUGAGGCUUAACCUCAAGAGGUCACUCGAUACUACUGUGUCUAGAGUGCGGUAGGGGAGCGGGGAAUUCCUGGUGUAGCGGUGAAAUGCGCAGAUAUCAGGAGGAACACCAGUGGCGAAGGCGCCGCUCUGGGCCGUAACUGACGCUGAGGAGCGAAGGCAUGGGUAGCAAACAGGAUUAGAUACCCUGGUAGUCCAUGCCGUAAACGUUGGGCACUAGGUGUGGGUCUCAACCAACGAGAUCCGCGCCGUCGCUAACGCAUUAAGUGCCCCGCCUGGGGAGUACGG